rnacentral:rRNA from 1 species
CACGUAGGGGGCGAGCGUUGUCCGGAUUUAUUGGGCGUAAAGAGCUCGUAGGCGGCUCAGUAAGUCGGGUGUGAAACCUCCAGGCUCAACCUGGAGACGCCACCCGAUACUGCUGUGGCUAGAGUCCGGUAGGGGAGCGUGGAAUUCCCGGUGUAGCGGUGAAAUGCGCAGAUAUCGGGAAGAACACCCGUGGCGAAGGCGGCUCUCUGGGACGGUACCGACGCCGAGACGCGAAAGCGUGGGGAGCGAACAGG